rnacentral:rRNA from 1 species
UACGUAGGGUGCGAGCGUUUGUCCGGAAUCAUUGGGCGUAAAGAGCGUGUAGGCGGCCCGGUAAGUCCGCUGUGAAAGUCCAGGGCUCAACCCUGGGAUGCCGGUUGAUACUGUCGGGCUAGAGUCCGGAAGAGGCGAGUGGAAUUCCCGGUGUAGCGGUGAAAUGCGCAGAUAUCGGGAGGAACACCAGUAGCGAAGGCGGCACUCUGGGCCGGUACUGACGCUGAGGAGCGAAAGCGUGGGGAGCAAACAGG